rnacentral:snRNA from 1 species
GUGAGGGGAUUGGGCUGCGACAUCUGUCACCCCACUGUUCGCCAGGGUUGAUUCGGCUGAUCUGGCUGGCUAGCAGGUGUCCCCUUCCCCGCUAGAGGGGGACCAGUAUUUGGUCAAGGGUAUAUGAAUAGCAGCGCUCCCCUGCUAGAACCUCCAAAUAAAAUACGGUUUUUCUGCUGGACUUCUCUUACAUAACAACACCAGCAGUGGCAGUCAUUG